rnacentral:rRNA from 1 species
UGGUGCCAGCAGCCGCGGUAAUUCCAGCUCCAAUAGCGUAUAUUAAAGUUGUUGCAGUUAAAAAGCUCGUAGUUGAAUUUCGGGGUUAGUAGGUUGGUCAUGCCUCUGGUAUGUACUGUCUCACUGAUUCCUCCUUCCUGAUGAACCGUAAUGCCAUUAAUUUGGUGUUGCGGGGAAUUUGGACUGUUACUUUGAAAAAAUUAGAGUGUUUAAAGCAAGCUAACGCUUGAAUACAUUAGCAUGGAAUAAUGAAAUAGGACGUUCGAUCCUAUUUUGUUGGUUUCUAGGAUUGACGUAAUGAUUAAUAGGGAUAGUUGGGGGCAUUAGUAUUCAAUUGUCAGAGGUGAAAUUCUUGGAUUUAUUGAAGACUAACUACUGCGAAAGCAUUUGCCAAGGAUGUUUUCAUUAAUCAAGAACGAAAGUUAGAGGAUCGAAGACGAUCAGAUACCGUCGUAGUCUUAACCAUGAACUAUGCCGACUAGGGA